ACGGGUGAGUAACACGUGGGCAAUCUGCCCUUCACUCUGGGACAAGCCCUGGAAACGGGGUCUAAUACCGGAUAGCACUUCCACUCGCAUGGGUGGGGGUUGAAAGCUCCGGCGGUGAAGGAUGAGCCCGCGGCCUAUCAGCUUGUUGGUGAGGUAAUGGCUCACCAAGGCGACGACGGGUAGCCGGCCUGAGAGGGCGACCGGCCACACUGGGACUGAGACACGGCCCAGACUCCUACGGGAGGCAGCAGUGGGGAAUAUUGCACAAUGGGCGAAAGCCUGAUGCAGCGACGCCGCGUGAGGGAUGACGGCCUUCGGGUUGUAAACCUCUUUCAGCAGGGAAGAAGCGAAAGUGACGGUACCUGCAGAAGAAGCGCCGGCUAACUACGUGCCAGCAGCCGCGGUAAUACGUAGGGCGCAGGCGUUGUCCGGAAUUAUUGGGCGUAAAGAGCUCGUAGGCGGUCUGUCGCGUCGGAUGUGAAAGCCCGGGGCUUAACCCCGGGUCUGCAUUCGAUACGGGCAGACUAGAGUGUGGUAGGGGAGAUCGGAAUUCCUGGUGUAGCGGUGAAAUGCGCAGA
rnacentral:rRNA from 1 species